GCAAGUCGAACGGCAGCACGGGUGCUUGCACCUGGUGGCGAGUGGCGGACGGGUGAGUAAUGCAUCGGAACGUGUCCUUAAGUGGGGGAUAACGCAUCGAAAGAUGUGCUAAUACCGCAUAAACUCUAAGGAGAAAAGCAGGGGAUCGUAAGACCUUGUGCUUUUGGAGCGGCCGAUGCCUGAUUAGCUAGUUGGUAAGGUAAAGGCUUACCAAGGCUUCGAUCAGUAUCUGGUUUGAGAGGACGAUC
rnacentral:rRNA from 1 species